UAAUGGGUCAGCGACUUAUAUUCUGUAGCAAGGUUAACCGUAUAGGGGAGCCGAAGGGAAACCGAGUCUUAACUGGGCGUUAAGUUGCAGGGUAUAGACCCGAAACCCGGUGAUCUAGCCAUGGGCAGGUUGAAGGUUGGGUAACACUAACUGGAGGACCGAACCGACUAAUGUUGAAAAAUUAGCGGAUGACUUGUGGCUGGGGGUGAAAGGCCAAUCAAACCGGGAGAUAGCUGGUUCUCCCCGAAAGCUAUUUAGGUAGCGCCUCGUGAACUCAUCUUCGGGGGUAGAGCACUGUUUCGGCUAGGGGGUCAUCCCGACUUACCAACCCGAUGCAAACUGCGAAUACCGAAGAAUGUUAUCACGGGAGACACACGGCGGGUGCUAACGUCCGUCGUGAAGAGGGAAACAACCCAGACCGCCAGCUAAGGUCCCAAAGUCAUGGUUAAGUGGGAAACGAUGUGGGAAGGCACAGACAGCCAGGAUGUUGGCUUAGAAGCAGCCAUCAUUUAAAGAAAGCGUAAUAGCUCACUGGUCGAGUCGGCCUGCGCGGAAGAUGUAACGGGGCUAAACCAUGCACCGAAGCUGCGGCAGCGACACUAUGUGUUGUUGGGUAGGGGAGCGUUCUGUAAGCCGUUGAAGGUGUAUCGUGAGGUAUGCUGGAGGUAUCAGAAGUGCGAAUGCUGACAUAAGUAACGAUAAUGCGGGUGAAAAACCCGCACGCCGGAAGACCAAGGGUUCCUGUCCAACGUUAAUCGGGGCAGGGUGAGUCGACCCCUAAGGCGAGGCCGAAAGGCGUAGUCGAUGGGAAACAGGUUAAUAUUCCUGUACUUGGUGUUACUGCGAAGGGGGGACGGAGAAGGCUAUGUUAGCCGGGCGACGGUUGUCCCGGUUUAAGCAUGUAGGCGGAGGUUCCAGGUAAAUCCGGUACCUUUUUAACGCUGAGGUGUGAUGACGAGGCACUACGGUGCUGAAGUAACAAAUGCCCUGCUUCCAGGAAAAGCCUCUAAGCAUCAGGUAACACGAAAUCGUACCCCAAACCGACACAGGUGGUCAGGUAGAGAAUACCAAGGCGCUUGAGAGAACUCGGGUGAAGGAACUAGGCAAAAUGGUGCCGUAACUUCGGGAGAAGGCACGCUGAUAUGUAGGUGAAGUGAUUUACUCAUGGAGCUGAAAUCAGUCGAAGAUACCAGCUGGCUGCAACUGUUUAUUAAAAACACAGCACUGUGCAAACACGAAAGUGGACGUAUACGGUGUGACGCCUGCCCGGUGCCGGAAGGUUAAUUGAUGGGGUUAUCCGUAAGGAGAAGCUCUUGAUCGAAGCCCCGGUAAACGGCGGCCGUAACUAUAACGGUCCUAAGGUAGCGAAAUUCCUUGUCGGGUAAGUUCCGACCUGCACGAAUGGCGUAAUGAUGGCCAGGCUGUCUCCACCCGAGACUCAGUGAAAUUGAACUCGCUGUGAAGAUGCAGUGUACCCGCGGCAAGACGGAAAGACCCCGUGAACCUUUACUAUAGCUUGACACUGAACACUGGUCCUUGAUGUGUAGGAUAGGUGGGAGGCUUUGAAGUGUGGACGCCAGUCUGCAUGGAGCCAUCCUUGAAAUACCACCCUUUAAUGGCUGGUGUUCUAACGUGGACCCGUAAUCCGGGUUGCGGACAGUGUCUGGUGGGUAGUUUGACUGGGGCGGUCUCCUCCUAAAGAGUAACGGAGGAGCACGAAGGUUAGCUAAUCCUGGUCGGACAUCAGGAGGUUAGUGCAAAGGCAUAAGCUAGCUUGACUGCGAGAGUGACGGCUCGAGCAGGUGCGAAAGCAGGUCUUAGUGAUCCGGUGGUUCUGAAUGGAAGGGCCAUCGCUCAACGGAUAAAAGGUACUCCGGGGAUAACAGGCUGAUACCGCCCAAGAGUUCAUAUCGACGGCGGUGUUUGGCACCUCGAUGUCGGCUCAUCACAUCCUGGGGCUGAAGUAGGUCCCAAGGGUAUGGCUGUUCGCCAUUUAAAGUGGUACGCGAGCUGGGUUUAGAACGUCGUGAGACAGUUCGGUCCCUAUCUGCCGUGGGCGCUGGAGAAUUGAGGGGGGCUGCUCCUAGUACGAGAGGACCGGAGUGGACGCAUCACUGGUGUUCGGGUUGUCAUGCCAAUGGCAUUGCCCGGUAGCUAAAUGCGGAAGAGAUAAGUGCUGAAAGCAUCUAAGCACGAAACUUGCCCCG
rnacentral:rRNA from 1 species